rnacentral:lncRNA from 1 species
UACAGGACUACUACCAAUGAGAACAGAAUAAUUGUGGACCACGCAGAUAAAGGCCUAGGCAAACAAUAUAUUUUAUUCAAGAUGUCAACAUUUUGUCUCAUCGAACGCAACUGUUUUUCUUACUCUUCAUAUGUCUUAUCAUCUUAAAACGGCAUAUAGAUAUAUCUUUUCAAACUGAUCACUAAAGUGACAAUAUCGAGGUUCUGUAAACAUUUCCUGUUUGUUCAUAAUAUCAAGGAAAUUAAUAUUCUGCUAAUACAUUCAAUUAUAAAAAAACCCUGUUCUACUUUUAUUGCACAUAUUCAAUCAUAUAUGGCGUAAUAAAACUCGUUUUACAUUUUCGAGAUAUAAUACAUAUGUAAGUUUGUGCCAAUAAUAUGAAUAUAGUGCGAUGUGCUUUGAUAGACGAUGCGACAACUAACCAAACAAACAUGAGAACUUGUAUGUUAACAAAUACUGGUUUAACUGUUAUUGAGGUUUCAUUGCCUACUGCAUAUGAAUACUUAGAUCAGCUAUAUAUAUUCCUGAGUUAAUACCAAGCUACAUUUUCCAAUUUUGAAAUGUAGUUCAAUUUAUGUUUGAUACCCGCCAUGUAAAAUAGUAUCUAUUUUCAGUCGAGAACGUAAACCGUUUUUAUUUCAUACAUUUAUAAGAUUGAAAGUUCUUAUGGUGCUCUGUAUAGCAUUAUGUUAAGUCAAACGCUUUCCAACUUAUUCUUUCUCUUAAUUGUUUGUUUCAAAUUGUAUGUUAUAAUGUUACUUCACUUCUGGACGUUAUUGGGUAAUUUUAAUCGUAAUAUUUCAGAUACAAACACAGUAUUUUUUUUCGUUUUCAGUUAUAGUUCAACGAGACAAAGUUGUAUGCAUAAUUUUAGCAACAUCUGUGAUAUAGUCUAUUUACUGUUCAUUUACCUAAAGACUGAUCCUCAGGAUAAAUCAAAACCAAAUUUAUAAAGAUGUGUGAUGAAUCUUGCUACGGUAAUAUAUGCAGUGGGUUAUUAAGUCGAUCAAUCGAUGAUGUAAUAUAACUGGGGAUACAUGAACAAGACCAUACCUAUUCUGAUGGUAGAUUGCGCUGUAUAAUUUUCCAUCCGUUAUCAUACUAGUACAUCAUACAAGUCAUGAAAACAAUAUUUCUAAACUUAAAAUAGUAAAUUUGACAUACUUUGCGUCAUUUUGCAAAUCAUGAUUGAAUUGAUAAAAACCGAUGAGUUAAGUUAGGAUGAUUACAACUAAAUAUUUUUUAGUCUGUUAUGAUGUUUUGGUGAUUCACCACUGUCCCAGGUUUAACCCAUCCAUAUUCUGUAAG